GGCUCAGGAUGAACGCUGGCGGCGUGCUUAACACAUGCAAGUCGAACGAAGCAAUUGGAGUGCUUGCACUUUGAUUGACUGAGUGGCGGACGGGUGAGUAACGCGUGGGUAACCUGCCUCACACAGGGGGAUAACAGUUGGAAACAGCUGCUAAUACCACAUAACGUAACGAUACCGCAUGGUAAUGUUACCAAAGAUUUAUCGCUGAUAGAUGGCCUCGCGUCUGAUUAGAUAGUUGGUGAGGUAACGGCUCACCAAGUCGACGAUCAGUAGCCGGACUGAGAGGUUGAACGGCCACAUUGGGACUGAGACACGGCCCAGACUCCUACGGGAGGCAGCAGUGGGGAAUAUUGCACAAUGGAGGAAACUCUGAUGCAGCGAUGCCGCGUGAGGGAAGAAGGUUUUCGGAUUGUAAACCUCUGUCUUCAGGGACGAUAAUGACGGUACCUGAGGAGGAAGCUCCGGCUAACUACGUG
rnacentral:rRNA from 1 species